AUGAAUUUUUCCUUUGAUAUCAGGAUCUUGGUAUUGAAGUUUAGAAGCUGUAUAUAUUUAUUGGAUGAUUUUGUUUUCUUUAACUUCCUUUCAGUUGUUAUGGUUUUGCUCGGCAAUCGGCCGUUCCACUUCUCGAUUCUGCUACUCGAUAAUCCACAAUUCUAA